UACGGGGGGAGCAAGCGUUGUUCGGAUUUACUGGGCGUAAAGGGCGCGUAGGCGGCCACCGCAAGUCAGUUGUGAAAUCUCUGGGCUUAACCCAGAAAGGUCAACUGAUACUGCGGGGCUAGAGUGCAGAAGGGGGCAACUGGAAUUCUCGGUGUAGCGGUGAAAUGCGUAGAUAUCGAGAGGAACACCUGCGGCGAAGGCGGGUUGCUGGGCUGACACUGACGCUGAGGCGCGAAAGCUAGGGGAGCGAACGGG
rnacentral:rRNA from 1 species